CUUACAUUGACAGCUUGAGGCACAGGACUAAUUUCUACUGCAUUUGGCAACAUGAGUAUGAAUCACUUGAUCCACCAAGACUUGAACGAGCUGUGGAGGACAAGUAGUUGGUACCUGACAAAGGCCACUGUGAUGGGCAUUACUUGGACCGGGUACCACCUGGAAAACUCGCAGUUGUGCCCCGAAUGAUUGUGCACCGUCCUCUAAUCACUCGAACGUGAUGCCACACUUACAACUACUGUGGGACUAGGUGGUUUCAAUAUCAUACUUGUGAGGCUGACUUUCAUGAACUAUAGUGUCACGCCAUUUUUCUGUAUCAAACCAUGUAUAAUAAAAGUAUGAAAAAUCCA